UUAAGCAUCAUUAGCAAACUAAGAAAGCAUUAGUGAGUAAAACUCACUUGAGACAAGCGAAGACCGGAUCACCGCAACAGUGACGUGACGGCGGCCGAAAUCUGAAUUUUAGGCGACGUCAAUGAACACUCGGGCCAGGCCUACAAGCCUCGCAAGCCCACAGAAAUUUCUGGGCUUGUGCUUGGCUUCACGGGCUUCUGAUUUUGUUGGGCUUCGCUGGACUGGGCCAAAACCUGGACUUUUAAUGGACUUCAAAUUGUUGGGCUUCGGCUGAGAUGGGCUGCUGGACCAACAAAUUUCGCUGGGCUUGAAAGAAAUUCAUUGGGCUUGAUUUCAUGGAGAUGGGCCGACUGGAACGGCUGCGGGCUUUGCUGGUCUUCGCUAGAUUCGUGGCAGCAAAGAAGAAGCGGCCUCGACGCUGCUAGGGAAAGACACGGACGAUGGAGAGAGACAUGCGGACGUCGAUGCUACUGGGCGAAGGAGAACGCACGAGCUGCAGACGUGAAGACCGAAGCUGCUGAAGAAACGCUUCGCUGGCAACUGGAGGAGUCCACGUUUGGGGCAGCUUUCGUUGACUCGGGGGAGGCUGGUUUGUGGACUCACGUGCUGGCGAUGGAGAUUCGGUGGAUUGAAGCCGCGUGGGCUUCAGUCUUCGUGGGCAGAGGUGACCGAGAUGCUGGCUGCAAUUCAAAGGAGAAGCAAAGAUCGGAGGAUUUGCGGGGUCAGGAAGUCAACAGCUGGAGUUUUCUUUGUUGGGCUUGAUCGGUUUGAGGGGGGCUUCGCUGGCAUCAGAUUGGUGGGGAGCAGCAACGAAGGAAAAGAAUCUGAAAGAAAGAAAGGAAGAGCUGCAGGUUCGUUCAAAUAAAAAUAAAGGAGAAUGAAAGUGAAGUAGAAAUUUGAUGGAGUCGGCGUGAAGAUGAGGCGCACGCAAGAGGGUG
rnacentral:lncRNA from 1 species